GUCUUACUGCAAGGUUAAUGCUGGUAACCACAAGCAUUUUCAUCCACCCAGGAACCAAGAGUCCUGGUUACCCAUUUCCUCCAUGGAAGUUGGAAAAACACAAACUUGGAUUCUGAGGCCCCAUCUUUACCCUUGUAUCUCAUCUGUGGUAGCUUUGGCUUAGGAGUCCCCAACUCAGGGUCUUUUUAAGCAACCCAACAAGACCUGGCCAUCUUCCUUUCAUACAGCAGUGUAAUUGUUGCCCUCAAAGCCUGUCACUUUCCAAAUGAUUUGAAAGUGCUGAAUGCUAUCCUGAUCUCAUCUCAGUCUCUAGUAUGCCUUGGACCCCUGGGUGUCAGGAUGUCUCCGUGGGACAGUUUCACCUGAAACAAUCUAGCAAUAUGAAUGAAACCAUGAACCCCAAGACAUAAAUAACCUGGAAGAAGAAAUGGCUGAAGUCCCAGGGGCAACCAGAGACAGAGCUCUCUGCCAGAGGAGGAACUUAUGUCUGGAAAAGGAUUUAUAAGUUGUGAGACAACCAUAUGGACUGGUUGGAGCAGAGGCAGUGUUGGACAGGGUAGUGGUGAGAGUUGGUUAGAUGUGUGUGAGACCACACUUUGGCUGAAUGUUCAACCAUGAAUAUCUCUUGCUAGUUUAAUUUAACCCCUACCCUCCUGUUAGGUCCCAAAGGCAGACCUUGACUAGCCAUUGAUCUUUUUUUCCCUCUUCCUGAUAUGGCCACAUUAAAUAAAUCU